CUACAAGGGCCUUCAAGCUUGAUCAAUAGAGUAUGUCAAGAUCUUAGUGAGCUUGUUGUGCUAUCCACAAGGCUUACUAUAGAAAUUGAUAUGAUGUUGACUAAGUACAUAUUGAUGCUUAUGGCAUAUUUGAAUAGUGUUGCUUUGUUAUGCUAUCCACAAGGAUAGUAUUGUUCAAAUAUGGCCAUAUGGAAUUGAAGGAUUAACUUUGUUGAGAUUUGACACCUUGAGAUUCGGUCCACAUUGAGCACACAGCGAGGUCUAGGGUGAUGAAUGGAGUCCAACGAGCACAAGAACAACCCAAAUAAAGUCCAGACGGUGAAAAUACGCAUGAAAGAAGAUCAGAGAAGGUAGCACGGUGCACG
rnacentral:lncRNA from 1 species